AGAGUUGAUCCUGGCUCAGAUUGAACGCUGGCGGCAGGCCUAACACAUGCAAGUCGAGCGGAUGAUGGGAGCUUGCUCCCGGAUUCAGCGGCGGACGGGUGAGUAAUGCCUAGGAAUCUGCCUGGUAGUGGGGGACAACGUUUCGAAAGGAACGCUAAUACCGCAUACGUCCUACGGGAGAAAGCAGGGGACCUUCGGGCCUUGCGCUAUCAGAUGAGCCUAGGUCGGAUUAGCUAGUUGGUGGGGUAAAGGCCUACCAAGGCGACGAUCCGUAACUGGUCUGAGAGGAUGAUCAGUCACACUGGAACUGAGACACGGUCCAUACUCCUACGGGAGGCAGCAGUGGGGAAUAUUGGACAAUGGGCGAAAGCCUGAUCCAGCCAUGCCGCGUGUGUGAAGAAGGUCUUCGGAUUGUAAAGCACUUUAAGUUGGGAGGAAGGGCAGUAAGUUAAUACCUUGCUGUGUUGACGUUACCAACAGAAUAAGCACCGGCUAACUUCGUGCCAGCAGCCGCGGUAAUACGAAGGGUGCAAGCGUUAAUCGGAAUUACUGGGCGUAAAGCACGCGUACGUGGUUUGGUAAGAUGGAUGUGAAAUCCCCGG
rnacentral:rRNA from 1 species